rnacentral:rRNA from 1 species
AUUGAACGCUGGCGGCAUGCCUUACACAUGCAAGUCGAACGGUAACAGGUCUUCGGAUGCUGACGAGUGGCGAACGGGUGAGUAAUACAUCGGAACGUGCCUAGUAGUGGGGGAUAACUACUCGAAAGAGUGGCUAAUACCGCAUGAGAUCUACGGAUGAAAGCAGGGGAUCGCAAGACCUUGUGCUACUAGAGCGGCCGAUGGCAGAUUAGGUAGUUGGUGGGAUAAAAGCUUACCAAGCCGACGAUCUGUAGCUGGUCUGAGAGGACGAUCAGCCAGACUGGGGCUGAGACACGGCCCAGACUCCUACGGGAGGCAGCAGGGGGGAAUUUGGGACAAUGGGCGCAAGCCUGAUCCAGCAAUGCCGCGUGCAGGAUGAAGGCCUUCGGGUUGUAAACUGCUUUUGUACGGAACGAAAAGCCCCGGGUUAAUACCCUGGGGUCAUGACGGUACCGUAAGAAUAAGCACCGGCUAACUACGUGCCAGCCGCCGCCGUAA